rnacentral:rRNA from 1 species
GACGAACGCUGGCGGCGUGCUUAACACAUGCAAGUCGAACGGAAAGGCCCUGCUUUUGUGGGGUGCUCGAGUGGCGAACGGGUGAGUAACACGUGAGUAACCUGCCCUUGACUUUGGGAUAACUUCAGGAAACUGGGGCUAAUACCGGAUAGGAGCUCCUGCUGCAUGGUGGGGGUUGGAAAGUUUCUGCGGUUGGGGAUGGACUCGCGGCUUAUCAGCUUGUUGGUGGGGGAGUGGCUUACCAAGGCUUUGACGGGUAGCCGGCCUGAGAGGGUGACCGGCCACAUUGGGACUGAGAUACGGCCCAGACUCCUACGGGAGGCAGCAGUGGGGAAUAUUGCACAAUGGGCGGAAGCCUGAUGCAGCAACGCCGCGUGCGGGAUGACGGCCUUCGGGUUGUAAACCGCUUUCGCCUGUGACGAAGCGUGAGUGACGGUAAUGGGUAAAGAAGCACCGGCUAACUACGUG